GGCGUCUUCGGCGUCCGAGUUGUAAUUUGCAGAGGGCGCUUUGGCAUUGGCAGCGGUCCAAGUUCCUUGGAACAGGACGUCACAGAGGGUGAGAAUCCCGUACGUGGUCGCUAGCCUUUACCGUGUAAAGCCCCUUCGACGAGUCGAGUUGUUUGGGAAUGCAGCUCUAAAUGGGAGGUAAAUUUCUUCUAAAGCUAAAUACUGGCCAGAGACCGAUAGCGCACAAGUAGAGUGAUCGAAAGAUGAAAAGCACUUUGGAAAGAGAGUUAAAAAGCACGUGAAAUUGUUGAAAGGGAAGCGCUUGCAGCCAGACUUGCCUGUAGUUGCUCAUCCGGGUUUCUACCCGGUGCACUCUUCUAUAGGCAGGCCAGCAUCAGUUUGGGCGGUUGGAUAAAGGUCUCUGUCAUGUACCUCCUUUCGGGGAGAUCUUAUAGGGGAGACGACAUGCAACCAGCCUGGACUGAGGUCCGCGCAUCUGCUAGGAUGCUGGCGUAAUGGCUGUAAGCGGCCCGUCUUGAAACACGGACCAAGGAGUCUAACAUCUAUGCGAGUGUUUGGGUGUCAAGCCCGAACGCGUAAUGAAAGUGAACGGAGGUGGGAACCUUUCGGGGUGCACCAUCGACCGAUCCUGAUGUCUUCGGAU
rnacentral:rRNA from 1 species